UACGUAGGUGGCAAGCGUUGUCCGGAUUUAUUGGGUUUAAAGGGUGCGUAGGCGGUCCUAUAAGUCAGUGCUGAAAUAUCCCAGCUUAACUGGGAGGGUGGCAUUGAUACUGCAGGACUUGAGUAGAGUCGAAGUAGGCGGAAUUGACGGUGUAGCGGUGAAAUGCUUAGAUAUCGUCAAGAACACCAAUAGUGAAGACAGCUUACUAGGCUCAAACUGACGCUGAGGCACGAAAGUGUGGGGAUCAAACAGG
rnacentral:rRNA from 1 species